CUCUUUCAGAGACGGAGGCACUCACCGAAAGUGAACAUUUUUCGAUUCUGGAAAAAAUCCAUUGGUGCUAUAUAUUUCAAGCUGUGACUAUUACAUAAUUAAAUUGAUAGUUUCAGUUACAAGCCAGUGAAGAGAUGCCAAUUGAAACGAUAACUUCUGUUACUGCCUCCAACACAGGACGAGAUCAAUUUUUGAAUCGUUCCAAAUCUAUGAAGAAAUGUCGAUCAAAUUCAGUUCCUUUCCUUCUUUCAAGCAAAGAAGAUAUUACAGAAGAAAAAGAUA